UUGGACGCUUAACCGACUGAGCCAUCCAGUCUAUCAUAAUAAAAUUCUGCAAAGUGACUUAAAAGAAAAAUGAAAAAUUCCUGGAACCUUAAUAAGGAGCAGCAAACUGAAAUUUGGGCCGCAAGAGUGAUGCUAAUCUAACAUUGUCUCCCUAACAGAAGAACAUCAAGUGGUAGCAGUCCCAUGGAUUCAUUGAUAGGGAUGAACACUUGAAACGUAUGGCAGUCAUUAAGUUUUCUUCCUGUCCAUAUUUUAUAUUCCCAGUGAUAGGUGAAUAAUCCCAAAUUUGACCUAACUUCUGUCUCAUAAUGGUCUUGAAUAUCUUUCUCAAACCUUAUCUAAUUCAAGUGUUUCAAUUUCUUGGAAUAUUGGUAAACCUAAACUCCAGUGAAAUACUGGCCAAUGGCAGUAUCUAUGGUUGGUGUGCAUUGUCUUCUAACAAAUCUUGUUAACGUAUAUUAUAGAGUAUAGCUAAAAAUCAAUUCUGUCUUUAUAUGUCGGGGGUCAAUAUUUUGUUUCCUGGUUUCUUUAUUCAUUUUCUGUAUUAUGAUUACAUAAAUAUUCCCAAUC